rnacentral:rRNA from 1 species
CACUCCUACGGGAGGCAGCAGUGGGGAAUUUUGGACAAUGGGCGAAAGCCUGAUCCAGCCAUGCCGCGUGCAGGAUGAAGGCCUUCGGGUUGUAAACUGCUUUUGUACGGAACGAAACGGCCUUUUCUAAUAAAGAGGGCUAAUGACGGUACCGUAAGAAUAAGCACCGGCUAACUACGUGCCAGCAGCCGCGGUAAUACGUAGGGUGCAAGCGUUAAUCGGAAUUACUGGGCGUAAAGCGUGCGCAGGCGGUUAUGUAAGACAGUUGUGAAAUCCCCGGGCUCAACCUGGGAACUGCAUCUGUGACUGCAUAGCUAGAGUACGGUAGAGGGGGAUGGAAUUCCGCGUGUAGCAGUGAAAUGCGUAGAUAUGCGGAGGAACACCGAUGGCGAAGGCAAUCCCCUGGACCUGUACUGACGCUCAUGCACGAAAGCGUGGGGAGCAAACAGGAUUAGAAACCCGGGUAGUCCCAU